CCGGAGGCCAGAGGGUGAUCUAACACUGACACACCAAGUCCGAAUGGGAUAACUAUUUUACAUCCCAGCUGUUUUAGAUUAGACGAAAAACCAUUUACAAUUCAUAAAAUCUAGUUUAGAACGCCACACAACCAUUAUAAUAUACUUUAUAUAUUACUGUAUGAUGUAUACCCUUUAUGACCCCCGAACACGAUGAGUAGAUAUCAAACAAUGUCAACUCGCCCCACUGGCCAAUCGGCCCACACUAUAUCGCCACUUUAUAAAAAAUCUCCACACUUGUUUACCGA
rnacentral:lncRNA from 1 species